rnacentral:rRNA from 1 species
UACGUAGGGUGCGAGCGUUAAUCGGAAUUACUGGGCGUAAAGCGUGCGCAGGCGGUUCGUUAAGUCAGAUGUGAAAGCCCCGGGCUCAACUCCGAAACUGCAUUCGAUACUGCGGUGCUUGAGGACUGGAGAGGAGACUGGAAUUCAUGGUGUAGCAGUGAAAUGCGUAGAGAUCAUGAGGAAGACCAGUGGCGAAGGCGGGUCUCUGGACAGUUCCUGACACUGAGGCACGAAGGCCAGGGGAGCAAACGGG